AGUGAACGCUGGCGGUAGGCCUAACACAUGCAAGUCGAACGGCAGCACAGUAAGAGCUUGCUCUUACGGGUGGCGAGUGGCGGACGGGUGAGGAAUACAUCGGAAUCUACUUUUUCGUGGGGGAUAACGUAGGGAAACUUACGCUAAUACCGCAUACGACCUACGGGUGAAAGCAGGGGAUCUUCGGACCUUGCGCGAUUGAAUGAGCCGAUGUCGGAUUAGCUAGUUGGCGGGGUAAAGGCCCACCAAGGCGACGAUCCGUAGCUGGUCUGAGAGGAUGAUCCGCCACAACUGAACCGAGAAAAGGGCCAGACCCCUAAGGGAGGGAGCAGUGGGGAAUAUUGGACAAUGGGGGGAAGGCCGAUCCAGGCCAACCGGGGGGGUGAAGAAGGGCUUUGGGUUGUAAAAGCCCUUUUUUUGGAAAGAAAAGCCGCCGGUUAAAAACCCGGCGUUCUUGAGGUAACCCAAGAAUAAGCCACGGCCAAAUUUGUG
rnacentral:rRNA from 1 species